CCCGGCUCUUCCCUUCUCUCCCCUCUUGCCUUCCACGCUAGACGCUGAGUGGCGGCUACUGGCAGCGGGACCGGUGAGGGGCGCGUGAGAUGCGCUUCGGAACCGCGGCAGCCGUGGAGGGCCGCGCGGCGGGACGGCCCGGCGGGUCGGUGGUUGGCUGGGCUGGAGCCGGGCCCUCAGCUCCUCACCUCGCGACUGCAGCCCUUCGGCGUGCUGCUGAUGGAGUGACCCCUAAAGAGCGUUUGGGAUGAGGGAUCAGCUCCUCGGGACCCGGAGGUCUGCGUGCGGCACUGGGCGUUUCGUCCGAUCACACUUGAAACGAGUUGUGGUGUUUCAAAAUCAAACUAAGAUGAUGAGAUCAGUGAUGCGAGUGACUUGCUAUGUUUCUUUUCAAACCUGAGAUAUGAGUGUACAGAUCAAUUAGACUUCAUACUUGCGUGCUUCUGACUUUGAUGCCAUACUUUGCAGAAGGAAACAGAUGUUCCUAACAGCUACUGAAAACUGAUGGAGCUUUGAAGUGUGCAAGGAUUACUGAGGAAGCAUUUAACACUACUUCAGAACCCUACUGUAAUGCCCAAAGGUACAGUUCUGUGGAUGUAUACGAUGCCUCUUCGACGUCUAUCUUGAUUUUCCUUUCAGUUUGAAGAUGAUGUCACUACACAAGGUCGCCACACCAUUGCAAGGACCUUACUUACGUAUGUCAGUGAUUUAAAGAAAAGAUUACUGUAAUUCACAAUCCUCUCAUUGCUGUUAUAAGUUGCUGGAUAACUUCUGAUGUCACCUUUAAAGGCUUUGGACCUCUUUAAUAAAGAAAUCAAAGAAAAACAUAUAACAAAUCACAAUGUAUUCCUUUUUGACUGGAAGUAAGGUAAGUUGUACUAUAUUUGUCUAUCUUAUUAAAAACCAUUAGUGAGCAUACCUAUCUUGUCAGGGACUUUAUUCAGUUACCACUAUAUCACAUAGAAAAUGAGAAUGCAGCCAAUUACUACAUGGCACUCAGUACCAUUUGAUUAUUAGCAUGCAUUCACACUUACUGUCAGUAAAGUGACAUUUAAGGCUAUCAAACAUAGUCCUGUAUACCUGGUUCAUUAAGAAUGAAAAUGCAAAGUUAAACACAAAAGAAGCGGAAGAGAAAAUGAUCAGUGGGGAAGCAGAUUCUGGAUGGAUGAUCUACAUUAAGAGGCUCAAAGGCAGGAUUAAAACAGAGUCAGUCAAAGCAUGAGCGCGGUUGCCAAACAAGUAAAAUGGAAUAUCAGAUCCAUCUGGCAGCACAUUAGGCAAAUAAAUAGGGAGGCUCAUUAAUUACUGUAUUCACAUUAAACAGUCUGUAAACAAUUACUAGAAACCAAAUAUUAUAAAAUAGAUAAAAUCAAAGAGCAUGUCACAGGGCACAAAAAUAAUGCUUCUGAGUGUACUGACAUACCUUCUAAGUGUACAAAUUAGAGACUGUGCUCUUUCAACACCUGAGCAUGAUUUAACUUUCUACUGCAAAUGGAGCAUUCUUUUCUUCCUUGAUUCCUGUGGUAUCACUGAGAAGACAUGUCUGAAUUAUUUUCUUGUGAGUCUUUUUCAGUAUUUAUUUUUUUUAUAAUGGUACUAUAAAAGGUUAAGAUCUUCAAUAUAUUUUUGCUGUGUUUUUAUUUAGAGACACCAGGUGGCAGAUAACACAUCACUUCAUUAAACCUCCUCCCUUUAAAAAAAAAAACACUUAUGUAAAUUAAAUGUCAGAAAGAAUACAG